rnacentral:rRNA from 1 species
CCCUACGGGGGGCAGCAGUCGGGAAUAUUGCGCAAUGGAGGCAACUCUGACGCAGUGACGCCGCGUAUAGGAAGAAGGUUUUCGGAUUGUAAACUAUUUUCGUGAGGGAAGAAAUUGACAGUACCUGAAGAAGAAGCCCCGGCUAACUACGUGCCAGCAGCCGCGGUAAUACGUAGGGGGCAAGCGUUAUCCGGAUUUACUGGGUGUAAAGGGGGCGCAGACGGCGAUGCAAGCCCGGAGUGAAAGCCCUGGGCCCAACCCC